UCCUACGGGAGGCAGCAGUGGGGAAUAUUGCACAAUGGGCGCAAGCCUGAUGCAGCCAUGCCGCGUGUAUGAAGAAGGCCUUCGGGUUGUAAAGUACUUUCAGCAGUGAGGAAGGUCGGGUGUGUUAAUAGCGCAUUCGUUUGACGUUAGCUGCAGAAGAAGCACCGGCUAACUCCGUGCCAGCAGCCGCGGUAAUACGGAGGGUGCGAGCGUUAAUCGGAAUUACUGGGCGUAAAGCGCAUGCAGGUGGUUUGUUAAGUCAGAUGUGAAAGCCCGGGGCUCAACCUCGGAAUUGCAUUUGAAACUGGCAGACUAGAGUACUGUAGAGGGGGUAGAAUUUCAGGUGUAGCGGUGAAAAUGCGUAGAGAUCUGAAGGAAUACCGGUGGCGAAGGCGGCCCCCUGGACAGAUACUGACACUCAGAUGCGAAAGCGUGGGGAGCAAACAGGAUUAGAUACCCUGGUAG
rnacentral:rRNA from 1 species